AGUCGAGGGGUAUAGUUCUUCGGAACUAGAGACCGGCGCACGGGUGCGUAACGCGUAUGCAAUCUACCUUUUACAGAGGGAUAGCCCAGAGAAAUUUGGAUUAAUACCUCAUAGUAUAAUGACCUGGCAUCAGGAUGUUAUUAAAGUCACAACGGUAAAAGAUGAGCAUGCGUCCCAUUAGCUAGUUGGUAAGGUAACGGCUUACCAAGGCUACGAUGGGUAGGGGUCCUGAGAGGGAGAUCCCCCACACUGGUACUGAGACACGGACCAGACUCCUACGGGAGGCAGCAGUGAGGAAUAUUGGACAAUGGGCGCAAGCCUGAUCCAGCCAUGCCGCGUGCAGGAUGACGGUCCUAUGGAUUGUAAACUGCUUUUAUACGAGAAGAAACACUCCAACGUGUUGGAGCUUGACGGUAUCGUAAGAAUAAGGAUCGGCUAACUCCGUGCCAGCAGCCGCGGUAAUACGGAGGAUCCAAGCGUUAUCCGGAAUCAUUGGGUUUAAAGGGUCCGUAGGCGGUUUAAUAAGUCAGUGGUGAAAGCCCAUCGCUCAACGGUGGAACGGCCAUUGAUACUGUUAAACUUGAAUUAUUAGGAAGUAACUAGAAUAUGUAGUGUAGCGGUGAAAUGCUUAGAGAUUACAUGGAAUACCAAUUGCGAAGGCAGGUUACUACUAAUGGAUUGACGCUGAUGGACGAAAGCGUGGGUAGCGAACAGGAUUAGAUACCCUGGUAGUCCA
rnacentral:rRNA from 1 species